UACGUAGGGGGCUAGCGUUGUCCGGAAUUAUUGGGCGUAAAGCGCGUGUAGGCGGUCCGGUAAGUCCGCUGUGAAAGUCGAGGGCUCAACCCUCGAAUGCCGGUGGAUACUGUCGGGCUAGAGUACGGGAGAGGCGAGUGGAAUUCCUGGUGUAGCGGUGAAAUGCGCAGAUAUCAGGAGGAACACCUAUUGCGAAGGCAGCUCGCUGGAACGUAACUGACGCUGAGACGCGAAAGCGUGGGGAGCAAACAGG
rnacentral:rRNA from 1 species